GUUAGGUGGGGCAAGCGUUGUCCGGAAUUAUUGGGCGUAAAGCGCGCGCAGGGCGGUCCUUUAAGUCUGAUGUGAAAGCCCACGGCUCAACCGUGGAGGGUCAUUGGAAACUGGGGGGACUUGAGUACAGAAGAGGAAAGCGGAAUUCCAAGUGUAGCGGUGAAAUGCGUUGAGAUUUGGAGGAACACCAGUGGCGAAGGCGGCUUUCUGGUCUGUAACUGACGCUGAGGCGCGAAAGCGUGGGGAGCAAACAGGAUUAGAUACCCUGGUAGUCCACGCCGUAAACGAUGAGUGCUAAGUGUUAGGGGGUUUCCGCCCCUUAGUGCUGCAGCUAACGCAUUAAGCACUCCGCCUGGGGAGUACGGCCGCAAGGCUG
rnacentral:rRNA from 1 species